GACUCCGUGGCGCAACGGUGGCGCGUUUUUAUCUCCCGAAAAGGCUGCGUGUUCGACUCACGCCGGAGUCG